UACGAAGGGUGCAAACGUUGCUCGGAAUUAUUGGGCGUAAAGCGCACGUAGGCGGUAUUGCAAGUCGGAUGUGAAAUCCCUCGGCUUAACCAAGGAAGUGCAUCCGAAACUGCUGUACUUGAGUACGAAAGAGGAUCGCGGAAUUCCCGGUGUAGAGGUGAAAUUCGUAGAUAUCAGGAGGAACACCGGUGGCGAAGGCGGAUCUCUGGGCCAUAACUGACGCUGAGGAGCGAAAGCAUGGGGAGCGAACAGG
rnacentral:rRNA from 1 species